rnacentral:rRNA from 1 species
ACGGGUGAGUAAUGUCUGGGAAACUGCCUGAUGGAGGGGGAUAACUACUGAAACGGUAGCUAAUACCGCAUAACGUCGCAAGACCAAANAGGGGGACCUUCGGGCCUCUUGCCAUCGGAUGUGCCCAGAUGGGAUUAGCUAGUAGGUGGGGUAACGGCUCACCUAGGCGACGAUCCCUAGCUGGUCUGAGAGGAUGACCAGCCACACUGGAACUGAGACACGGUCCAGACUCCUACGGGAGGCAGCAUG